AAAGUCGUAACAAGGUCUCCGUAGGUGAACCUGCGGAGGGAUCAUUAACACGUAUCCUACGUAUAUACCAACCGUGAACUUGUUCUCCUGCUUUGAUUGGUAAAGUUUUGAGUGAGGUUGGCGUGAUAAUCUGAGCUAACUUCUCUCUCUGAGUCUCUGACUCGGGGCUUGCUGAUUAAGGCGUAUCUGUUUCCUUAUCACGAAACAAUUGUAUUAAUUUAUUAACUAUUUGUACUUCUUUUGUACUAAAAACAUGCGACUUUAGUUUUCGAACUACUGUUGUGUAAUUACGAAACGCUAAACAACUCUUAGCAACGGAUAUCUUGGUUCUG
rnacentral:misc_RNA from 1 species